GUGAGACGUUGAAAAGAAGAGAGAAAGGAAUUGAAUGGAGUCUACUGAAUUUACUGCAGGCACUGAGAUAAUCUGCAAGCCACAGACUUAUAACUCAUGUAAGCUGUUUCUCAAAUAUCUGCCCAGUGGUGCUGGUGAGAGCCCGAUGAAAAUGCACAAAGAGUGACACAACCUGGCCACCACUAAGAAGUAAAGAGCUCAGUGAUUUCUCAUCUAUUCUUUCACAGCUACACACCAAUGAAAACAAACACCCGAAACCGUCUUCUGUGGCAUUUGUCAGUUGAAAAAGAACACCUUAGACUUAACUUUUAAAAUGUCUGUAAUAAAAAUAUAAUUCCAUUUUCUUUUCUCGUUUGGUUCUGUUAUGCUCAGUGUUACUUGUGACAGAUAAAACAUUAUUUACAAC
rnacentral:lncRNA from 1 species